GACGAACGCUGGCGGCGUGCUUAACACAUGCAAGUCGAACGGAAAGGCCCUGCUCUUGUGGGGUGCUCGAGUGGCGAACGGGGGAGUAAAACGUGAGUAACAUGCCCUUAACUUUGGGAGAAAAUCAGGGAACAGGGGCUAAUACCGGAGAGGAGAUCCUGAUGCAUGGUGGGGGUUGGAAAGUUACGGCGGUUGGGGAUGGAAUAGCGGCUUAUCAGCUGGUUGGUGGGGUAGUUGCUUACCAAGGGUUCGACGGGUAGGCGGCCUGGGAGGGUGACCGGGCACCUUGGGACUGCGAGACGGCGCAGACUCCUACGGGACGCAGCAGUGGGGAGCAUUGCACAAUGGGCGGAAGCCUGAUGCAGCAAUGCCGCGUGCGUGAUGACGUCCUUCGGGUUGUAAACCGCUUUCGCCUGUACCGAAGCGUGAGUGACGGUAAUGGGUAAAGAAGCCCCGGCUAACUACGUG
rnacentral:rRNA from 1 species